rnacentral:tRNA from 1 species
GGAGAGUUGGCUGAGUGGUUUAAGGCAGCGGUCUUGAAAAUCGUCGAGGGGUAACCCUCCCAGGGUUCGAAUCCCUGAUUCUCCGCCA